rnacentral:rRNA from 1 species
UACGUAGGGUGCGAGCGUUAAUCGGAAUUACUGGGCGUAAAGCGUGCGCAGGCGGUUUUGUAAGACAGACGUGAAAUCCCCGGGCUUAACCUGGGAACUGCGUUUGUGACUGCAAGACUAGAGUACGGCAGAGGGGGGUAGAAUUCCACGUGUAGCAGUGAAAUGCGUAGAUAUGUGGAGGAAUACCGAUGGCGAAGGCGGCUUCCUGGCUUAAAACUGACACUGUGGCGCGAAAGCGUGGGUAGCAAACAGG